AUUGAACGCUGGCGGCAGGCCUAACACAUGCAAGUCGAGCGGAUGAGGGGUGCUUGCACCCCGAUUCAGCGGCGGACGGGUGAGUAAUGCCUAGGAAUCUGCCCGAUAGUGGGGGACAACGUUUCGAAAGGAACGCUAAUACCGCAUACGUCCUACGGGAGAAAGUGGGGGCUCUUCGGACCUCACGCUAUCGGAUGAGCCUAGGUCGGAUUAGCUAGUUGGUGGGGUAAAGGCUCACCAAGGCGACGAUCCGUAACUGGUCUGAGAGGAUGAUCAGUCACACAGGAACUGAGACACGGUCCCGCCUCCUACGGGAGGCAGCAGUGGGGAAUAUUGGACAAUGGGCGUAAGCCUGAUCCAGCCAUGCCGCGUGUGUGAAGAAGGUCUUCGGAUUGUAGAGCACUUUAAGUCGGGAGGAAGGGCUGUAGGCUAAUACCUUGCAGUUUUGACGUUACCGACAGAAUAAGCACCGGCUAACUUCGUGCCAGCCGCCGCCGUAACAC
rnacentral:rRNA from 1 species